UUUUAUUUUGCAACCUAAAACGAAUUGUAGGAAUAUUCAAAUUAAAAUCCUGUGCAUCAAAACAAAGCUCAUAGGUUGCAUAAAAUUCACAGCAAAGCUCAACAUAGGAGGGACAAUCUAUAACAAAAAAUUUUGUCAAUCCAAUUGUAUCAAUUAAAGCAUAAACUUCAUCAUACAAUCGCAAUUGGAUCAAGGUAUCAUCAUUUAUUUUCUUAAAAGCAUAAAUAUUAGAAUGGAGAAAAAUUUUAUAUCUGACCUCAUCAUCGCCGACAAAGCUAAAAUUGCCAUGAAGGUCUUGCUCUGCAGGUAGAUAUCUAGCCUUUCCACCAGCUAUCUUGGGCAUCCGUUUUUUCUGCUUUUUCUUUGGAGGAGAAUUGGCCUGGAUUUCUUCACUGGCACUUGAGGUUGUGUCCUCGCUGCUGUCCUCCGAAG
rnacentral:lncRNA from 1 species